rnacentral:tRNA from 1 species
GAGGGUGUAGCUCGGCAGUAGAGCACAUGCUUAGCAUGCAUGAGGUCCUGGGUUCAAUCCCCACUGCCUCCA